rnacentral:lncRNA from 12 species
GGAUGCAAACAGAGACAGCACAGGAAUGACUGCUGCCAUCCGGUAUAAUUGCAAUCCAUUUCUCUGCUCCACUGCAGAUGCCUUUUCUGUCCUCCAUGAAAAAUGUCAUCACCAGGGUGAAUAUAUUCUCAUGCUUUUCUGGUGUGUUGUUUUUCUUAGGCCACGGUGGCCUACUGCCAUUAGCAUUGGCCGGCCAAGGGCCAGUGCGCUUGUGCUUGACAAUCACAUUAGAUCACAUCACAGUCCCUUGUUGGUUAAAGGGUGUUGGACAGAAUUUGAGACCUCACCAGGGAUACAAGUGGAGGCCGUAGGAAAUAGAGCAAUUAUGGAGUGUCAAGGAUUUGAAGAACACAGCACCCAUGAGAACCCAGGAUACAGGAACGGGUUUGUGAGCUCUUAGACAAGAGACUCUGCAGGAGUUGCUGAAGCAGCCAGGUGGGGAGUUGAGUCCUGUGGAUGGACCUCUGAGCAGCACAACAUCUAUCGGAGCAAAUGGUAUCUCUGCCAGGAUGCUUCGCAGCCGCAGUGAGCAGUACCAUCUAAACAAUGCUGGCUUCUCUUUCGGUACAUCGGCCAGACUCUCUCAUCCUCAAAGCAACAACAGUAUACCAGGCCUGGCGCUGAAUAAGUACAACUCUCUGAAAGCAGUUGCCGAUACUGCAAGCAGGGGCUACUACAAAAGUUAUCCACUAAUGGAUUUCUCUCAGCAUCAUUCCCCUCCUGCAACUUUCCAACCGAUGCAGAUGCACCCGAAAGACAAGUCCCAUCUCCACCAGGUCCUCCCUUCCCAUGACAUCCAUUCCCCCCUUUCGAUCUCAAUCCCAACCAACCAGCUGGAGAGGACCCGCAUCCCAAAAACCAUCACCCAUCCUCAGCUUUCCAGCGCAGCCUUCAAAGCUUGGGAUUCUGGACAAAGACAUGUCCACCGGCAGACCUCGCAUCCAGAGCACUCCACUCGCCGCCAGUCCAACAGCAGCAGGAGACAGUACAGCACAGAAACACUACCGGAGUUCCUCUCCCAGCCCACAGGCUAUGGGGGACAACCACUGUAUCAGCCACAUCCCAAACUUAAGGCCUACCAGACCAACAGCAAGAUGGAGGUCACUGUCUGA